UUUAGUUUGCCUAUGUGAUGUUUGUUGUAAGUGCUGUAACUAGCAUGACAUGUAAGAUGGAUACUCAAUAUGUUGUUGUGUCAUCCAUCCCUGGUCAUGAAAGAACAUGCAUAGAUUGUCCCCAAUGUGGACCUGGCAAAGAACCUGGAAUCAAAUGUGGUACAUCCAUUGCCAUUCAUGAAAAGACUGGGGAUUGUCAACAUUGUCAAGGCAAUUUUUUUUCAACAAGAAAAGAUGUGCUUCCAUGUCAGCCUUGUACAACCUCAUAUUUGGUAAAUCAAAAUAAAACAAAAUGCAUUGCUGUGCAUUCAGGUCAUCAUUCCAAUGAUCAGCCUAAGUUGGUCAUUUGGAUUGUUGUUGGUGUUGCUGGUUUUUUGCUUGUGUUGGUGUUGAUCUUUGUAUGCAAAAGAAGAUUGCUAAACUAUUUAACCAAGUCAUCAAUGGCAAACCCACUAACACAGCUCCUUAUCAAGAGGUUUCAUCUGAUACUGGACAGGAAAAACUCAAAGUGAAAGUUGAAGAAACAUCUGCUGGCCGAGUUGACAGUCACCCUCUGCUUUCUGGCCAAGGCUGUUCUCAUAUUAAUAACAGUCAUUCAAGUCCUCAAGUUGUUUAGAUACCCAACAGACUAUGUUGAAGAUAGAACAAUGACAACAUAUUUAGAUAUGGCUAGAAUAUCAUUAAUUGUAGUGAACGUUUUCUAUGUUUGACAAGUUUUAAUUAAUGAUUAGCUUGAUUGUUCAUUUGAUGAUUAUGCAGUUAUGGUAAAGUGUAAAAUAUUGUAAUUGGAAUAAUGCAAAAUCAAUUUUUCAAUCAUCGUACAACAGUAAAUCAUGUUUGAUUGAAAUAAAUUUACUGUUUAGUAACAGAAGUCAAAAUAACAUAACAUAUUGUUAUAUGGUCAAUUUUCUUUUGUCUUGUCAAUUUAGCAGGGGGUGUAAUAAAUAGACUAACUAAAAGAAGCGACAAAACAUUUGUAAACAUGGCGUAGUUAUGGACCUUCCUAUUGUACUUUAUUAUUAUCACGAUGAGUAAAAAGGGAUUAAAUUGCUUUACCGUCUGUCUUGCUCAUUUAUCGUCAAAUGUAUUCGACAAUGUGAGUUCAACGCUUUUGAUUUUAAUCAUCAAUAUUAUACUUAGACUGUUUGAUACCAUGUCUAUGGACACAAGACAUACCAUGUUAUAAUGUCUAUUUUUCAUCAUCAUGUGUAUUUAAGACAAUGAUUUGUUGCUUGCAACCAAUUCAAACAUUCAAUGACUUAAAUACACAUGAUAAUCUUAACCAAUUUAGAUGAAAUAUUGUCGCACCAUGUCCAUGGUCACCUAAAAGAUGGAAGAAAAAAACACCUGCCAAUGUUGAGGUAACAACGCAAUUUUUUAAAUAUGCCAAAAGAAACUUUUUAUUUCUAUGUAUAAAAAUAGGAAAGCCAAAAACAUCAUGUGUAAAGUUAAGCCAGUGUUUGUUUUGUUUAACGUCUAUUUUGUUUGUUGUCUCCUUGUCACUCAUUGGUUAAAGACUUAAAUUCAUCAUGACUUUAUUGAUGAUACACAUUUGGCAAUAUUGGAAGCUAACUAAGAUUGGGUGGGCUAAAAAUUCAAACUCUUGUCUUUAAUUUGAGCCAGAUUCUAGAGAUGGGCAAUUUUGUCCCCAAGAUUAGUCAAUACACAAGUUUUAGUACUCAUGACAUAUUACCCAGAAAACAAAAAAGUAACACAAAUUAAGACCUUUGGGUACAUUUUCACUCUUGGGCCAAUCAAUGGCUUAAUAUUUUCCUGCUAUCCACCUAGAGAUCUUGGCAAAAACUGAUUUACUCUGCAGUCUUUGAGGAUUCAAGGCACAGUUGAGAUAAACAGAACAGUCUAAUGCAUUGGUUAUUCCAUUCGCAACCUUGCUAUUACAAAGUAAAUGCAUGGUUUAAAGAAUAUUAGUGAUUAAAUGUUCUCUUAAUCUUCCAAAGGUUUUCAGGACAUUUUGUUACUAAUAUCCCUAAAGGCAUGUGUUUACUUACAUACAAUGCAACUUUUAAUAAUUUGAAUGAAAUUCCCAUGUUGGGUAUGAUUUCUCAAAUUUUAAAAUAAGUAACAAAAAAUGUGUUGUGUGUUAUUGCACAGUUGAUAUGAACAAAACUUCAAUAAAGCGAAAAGUUUUGAAGACAAAAAACACAUAUUUUCAGUCAAAAGUUGCACUAUGUAAAACUAAUAUCUUUGAUUUUUGAUUUUGGAAACAUUACUACAGAUCCCUAUUCCAAUUGUCUACAUUUGGAUAUUAUUUACAUCUAUAUUUAAAGUAUCAAAUUAAAUUUGUUCGUUGGUACAUUAAUGUAAUCACCCUAGCAUUUUCCAGCAUUAAAUUAUCCUUCUCAAAAAAAAUUUUGAAUUCACAUCAGACCACAUUUCGCAUUUCAACCAGAAAUUCUGCCUUUAUUUUUAAUGCCUACGAGAAUAUCUCAUACCAAGCAAAUCACCAACUUCGAUCAUCGCAGUAACCGCCUGGAAAUAUUGCAAAAAAAACUUCACCAUCCUGAUUUUAUGUGAGAAGAAUAUGUUAAAAUGAUAGUAAUGCUCACAAAACAAGUUUUAAGAUUCACAUCAAAGAUUGAUUUCACCAAUAAAAUAGUUUUAAUACACUAGACUCUAUCUUACCUUGUCCAAUUGAUCCCUUGUAUGAGCGGCAGAUAUACAAAACCUUGCACGAGACUCAAGAAUACUAGUAGCAGGAAAUCCUACGACAACACUUGCAAUUCCUCGUUUCAACAACUCACGACUAAGGGCACUACACAAGAAAGAUAUCAUGGAGACAGAACAUAACAAACAGACAAGGAAAUUGACAAAGCAACCUUAUUUUUCCAGGAAGGAAAAUCAAAACAGGAACAAUUACUGAGUCGUCGUGUCCAUACACAAUGAAACCAGCUUUUUUUAAGGAUUGUCGGAAAUACCUGAAAUUUUAAAAAGUUUAUAUAAAAAGAUGAUAAAGAUGUUGAAGUUUGGGGCUAUUUAUGACUUUAUAUUUCUUAUUCUAUCACAGUUCGCAGCUCAAAAACGCACUAGAUUUACACAAUCAUAUUAUCAUAGUGAUAUAAUAACAUAACAAUAUCUACAUUAAGAUGAUUACCAUUCAGGGUUAAAGAACACUUCUGUAAGAUUUGAGGUAGUAACAAAAUAUUGAGCAAAUACUGGGCUAAUGCCUUUAUUGCCAUUAAUCAUCCUCACAUGCAUAAAAAUUACAAAAGCAAUUUCACAAAGUUGUGGAUUUUAUUGGAAUUGAACCUCCCUGUUUCUCAGAGUGCACAAUAAAGUGGGCUACCAUUAAACUAUAACAAAACACAAACAUACUUGCUAUUCUCAGAUAAGGUGUGAAGUCUUUUUUGCCCUAAAGAAAAAGUGUUUAAAGUUUAAGUUAUAAAUUAUAUUAAUUGUUUUAUAUUGGACAAACAUAAAUUGUUUUAUAUUGGACAAACUGACCAUAGAUGAUCUAGCUUACCUUCGCCUGUCCCAUCUUCACCCAUGAUGAUCUUCAUUGAUGAGAUUAUUUGCUGUGCCACUGGAGGUGACAUUGAACAUGCAUAAACUGCACUAUGAGAUGAUGAUCGAAUAUGACGAAUGAUUUCCUAGAAAUUGAUAAGUUAUUGGAAAUAUAAUUAUAAGAAAAUUCUACCUCGGAGGCAGCAAUGUAGCCACCUGCUGAUCCAAAACUCUUUGUAAAUGUACCCAUCAUGAUAUCAAUAUCCUUUGGAUGAAUGCCAUAAUAAUCAGCUACACCUCUACCAUGUGGACCCAUUGCACCAAUACUAUGAGCCUCGUCAAGAUAAAGAUAUGCCUUGUACUUCUUCUUAAGCUCUAUCACUUCUGGAAGUUUCACUAUUGAGCCCUCCAUGCUAUUAGUGACAUAAUUUUCCCAUAGUUUAAGCAAUUCAAUUUACAACAUUUUUUAAUGACUAUCUAUAAUAUUAAAUUUCUCAUUAUCAGAAUAAAUUAAUUAUUGCUGAA